rnacentral:rRNA from 1 species
AACGAACGCUGGCGGCGUGCCUAACACAUGCAAGUCGAACGAGAAACCUCGGGCUUGCUCGAGGGAGUAAAGUGGCGCACGGGUGAGUAACGCGUGGGUAACCUGCCCCUGGAUCUGGGAUAACUUCGCGAAAGCGUAGCUAAUACCGGAUGAUGUCCUGUUGACUUAGGUCUUCGGGAUGAAAGAUGACCUCUUCAUGAAAGUUGUCGUUCAGGGAGGGGCCCGCGUACCAUUAGCUUGUUGGUGGGGUAAUGGCCCACCAAGGCAACGAUGGUUAGCUGGUCUGAGAGGAUGAUCAGCCACACUGGAACUGAAACACGGUCCAGACUCCUACGGGAGGCAGCAGUGAGGAAUUUUGCGCAAUGGGGGAAACCCUGACGCAGCAACGCCGCGUGAGUGAAGAAGGCCUUCGGGUUGUAAAGCACUUUCAGUAGGGAAGAAAUGCGUGAAGCUAAUAACUUCGCGCCUUGACGGUACCUACAGAAGAAGCACCGGCUAACUCCGUG